rnacentral:piRNA from 1 species
UCCCAACCUAGACACGGUUGCCUCUGUGCCCU